rnacentral:rRNA from 1 species
UGGGGAAUAUUGCACAAUGGGCGAAAGCCUGAUGCAGCGACGCCGCGUGAGGGAUGACGGCCUUCGGGUUGUAAACCUCUUUCAGUAGGGACGAAGCGCAAGUGACGGUACCUGCAGAAGAAGCACCGGCUAACUACGUGCCAGCAGCCGCGGUAAUACGUAGGGUGCGAGCGUUGUCCGGAAUUACUGGGCGUAAAGGGCUCGUAGGCGGUUUGUCACGUCGUCUGUGAAAUCCUAGGGCUUAACCCUGGACGUGCAGGCGAUACGGGCUGACUUGAGUACUACAGGGGAGACUGGAAUUUCUGGUGUAGCGGUGGAAUGCACAGAUAUCAGGAAGAACACCGAUGGCGAAGGCAGGUCUCUGGGUAGUAACUGACGCUGAGGAGCGAAAGCAUGGGUAGCGAACAGG